GACGGGGUUUCAUGGUGUUAGCCAGGAUGGUCUCAAUCUCCUGACCUCAUGAUCUGCCCGCCUUGGUCUCCCAAAGUUCUGGGAUUACAGGUGUGAGCCACUGUGCACGGCCAAGAUUUCAUUUAAUUUGUAGGAUAUAUUUUGUCAACAAAAUGAAUUCUGACUCUGUUUCUAUAAAAGGCUAUCUUGGAUGUUUUUUGAAGUGUACUCUCUGGGUGUUUUUUUUUGUUUGUUUUUUGUUUUUUUGAGAUGGAAUUUUUGGUCACCCAGGCUGGAGUGCAAUGGCGCUGUCAGCUCAUUGCAACCUCUGCCUCCUAGGUUCAAGCAAUUCUCCUGCCUCAGGGUCCCGAAUAGCUGGGAUUACAGGUGGCUGCCACCACAUCUGGCUAAUUUUCAUAUUUUUAGUAGAGACAGGGUUUCACCAUGUUGGCCAAGCUGGUCUUGAACUCCAGACCUCAGAAGAUCCAUCCACCUCGGCCUCCCAAAGUGCUGGGAUUACAAGUGUGAGCCACUGCGCCUAGCCAGAAUAUAUAUAUAUAUAUAUAUAUAUAUAUAUAUAUAUAUUUUUUUUUUUUUUUUUUUUUUUUUUUUUUUGAGAUGGAGUCUCACUCUGUCCCCCCAGGCUGCAGUGCAGUGGCACGAUCUCUGCUCACUGCAACCUCUGUCUCCAGGGUUCAAGUGAUUCUCCUGCCUCAGCCUCUCAAGUAGUUGGGAUUAGAGGUGCCUGCCAGCACGCCUGGCUAAUUUUUUGUAUUUUUAGUAGAGACAGGGUUUCUCAAUUUUGGUCGGGCUGGUCUCAAACUCCCGACCUCAGGUGAUCUGCUUGCCUUGGCCUCCCAAAGUGUUGGGAUUACAGGCGUGAGCCACUGCGCCCGGCCCAGAAUAUACUUUUUAAAAUGAGGUGCUAUAAUUUAUAUUUGUGUACUUUAGAUCAAAUUAACUAUAAGCUAAAUUUUUAACAUUUAACGAUACAAUUCACAUAAAAUUGGACAAAUAUGCAACUCCCCAAAACCUCAGUUUCACUCUCUGUGAAAUGGAGAUCUCAGCUUCUACCUCAUAAAGGAGUUGUGUGUAUAAAUGUGGCAGCGGGUACCUAGUACAGUACAUGGCCUGACACAUGGCAAGCACCACAUGAAAUAUAGCUAUACUUAUUAAUUUGAGUAAUUAACAAGAAAAUUUAAAAAAAUCCUGUCAUUAUGUGAAAAGUUCUAUCUGUACUGCCAAGUGCUCAAAUGUAAGAACACAAUUUUUUUCCAAUCUACUUCUGAGAAUAAAAGUGUAGAAAAGUACUACUGAUUAGUAAUAAUUUAGACAGAACUGCUCAAUAUAAAUAUAAUUUGGAUAUUCAGUGAAAUCUUAGUGUUACAUAUUUUAUAUCUGAUUUCUAAACUUAUCAUGACAUCAAAGUCACCUAGGAAUAAUUUUUUUUUUUUUUUAAUUUUUGAGAUAGGGUAUCACUCUGGCACCUAGGCUGGAGUGCAGUGGCACAAUCUUGCCUCACUGCAGCCUCUGCCUCCUGAGCUCAAGUGAUCCUUCCACGUCAGCCUCCCAAGUAGCUGGGACCACAGGUACACACCACCAUGCCCAGCUAAAUUUUUGUGUAUUUUUUGUAGAGGCAGGGUUUUGCCAUGUUGCCCAGGCUGGUCUGGAACUCCUGGGCUCAAGGGGUCUGUCUGCCUCAGCCUCCCAAUGUGCUGAGAUUAUAGGCAUGAGCCACCAUGCUCAGUCUGGGAAUAAUUUUUAAUUCGAAAACACUCAAACCAAAAACAGACUCUAAUCAAGAGAGUAUAGAUUGUCCACAAGAGAAAUUCAAGAAUCUCUAUCAUUUUAAAAUUUGUACAAAUAAUUCUAAAGUAACGAGUCUGCAGACUAAUAUUUGGGGAACACUGAUGUAUUUCAUCUACCUAUAACUAAUUUUAACUAGUUGCAACUCACUCUCCAUGGGGAAACAUUCGCCAUGUUGGUAGGCUGUCCAGAAAAGGAUCCAAUAUAAAAUGUUAUUGGGAAGAGUCUUAAGUACCUCAGAAUUUAUUGUCAGAGAAUCAAUACCUAGACCUCUAUAUGCUUUACUGAAACUCCAGGAUGGUUGCCCUAGGUUUAAACUGAGUUCUGGGGGAAUGAUUUUCAUUUAAAGGUCUCAAGCUUCAUAACCAUUUUGCCCAGAUGAAAAAAGUUCAAAACAAGAUGUAAAAAUCCAUGUAUUGACCCUUCACUUAAAAAAAAAGUAUAUAUAUGUAUUAAACCAAAUGUACAGAUUCUUUACAGUUGGUCCCAAAGUUCUAGAGUCUUUUUAAAAAGAAGGAUUAUUUUUUCUUCAGAUUUUGCUUUGCUUGCUGUUACAGAGGCACUCCUGUCCAAAAGCUUCUGGUAACUUAAGUGACAAAUGCAAUGCAAAUAAAGAUAAGUAGAUUAAUACAAGAGCACACUCCCUGCAAUUACUAAUCAAAGAAUACCAACUCAAGUGUAAUGUUAGCUAGUCUCCUUAGCUGUUUCUCUCUUUUUAUUUUUUUUUGAGCUUUUGCUUCAGAUGAUAUGUAAUACUUAUGCAUAAGCAUAUUUUCAUAGUGCAAGUCAACACACUUUAACUAGUUCAAUACUCAUACUGAUCUAUUUUAUUACAUCUGAAUAAUCUUUUAUUAUGUGCAAAAAUUGAAUCACAUAGUGGAAGCUGCAUGCACAUAAGUACGCAAAGUCCAGUAAACUGGUUGUGGUUUUUCUGAUUAGAUAUUGAUUUAUUCUGAAUAUAUAAAGUGCUGUAGGAAGAUUUAAAGGCUGAGGGUGCACAAAAUCAUUUAAGAUGAUCAACAAUUAGGUUUCUCUUUUUCUAUAAGUGCAUAUACCAGAGCUAUUUUAAUAUUAAUAGUGGCUAAGGGUACUAUUAGAGUUUUUCAUAAUGAUAUUACUCCAAAUUAUUUUAUAAAGAUGGGAAGUAAUACUGGGAAAUAAUGAUACACAAUUGUUACUGAAUAUUUAAUAAAGCACAAGUUAGUUAUAAAUAAUACCACAAACUCUCUCUAAAAACCCCAAAUAAUUCCUCUAUAAAUCUUUCUAUACUACUUGUUUUAACAAGUUCUAUUUAAAAUAACUUCUUCCUAAAAAUGGAAUUUGAGGACCGGGCGCGGUGGCUCAUAUCUGUAAUCCCAGCACUUUGGGAGACUGAGGUGGGUGGAUCACGAGGUCAGGAGAUCGAGACCAUCCUGGCUAACAUGGUGAAACCCCAUCUCUACUAAAAAAUACGAAAAAUAAGCCCAACGUGGUGGCACACACCUGUAGUCCCAGCUACUCGGGAGGCUUAGGCAGGAGAAUUGCUUGAACUUGGGAGGCGGAGGUUGCAGUGAGCCGAGAUCACACCACUGCACUCCAGCCUGGGCAAAGAGCGAGUCUCUGUCUCAAAAAAAAAAAAAAAAUGGAAUUUGAGUUCUCUAGAUGAGUGUCAAACCAAUGAUUUAAAACAUCACAAGGCCUGAGUAGAAAGAAUGAAUUGAUUGGUACACAUGGGAACAGGAGUUAGUACUUGUUAAUUAGUCCUAGAGUUAGCGUUAGUACUUGUUAGUUAGUGUUAGUCCCAGAGUUAAGACAAAGAGCAACUUUAAAGUACAGAAUCUUUCCCAAGAAGAGUAAAUAAAUCCUCAUAGCAUAAAUCAAAUUUAAUGUUUGACAGUUCACCAGUUUUUAUCAUCUUUACAACAAACUCAGGUAGCUCUCUAGUAAUUUGCCUACUCCAUAAGGGGGCAUUUAUUUACCUCUUUACUAUUAAUUCUCAGAUCAAUAGAAGAGACAUAAACUUUGAAGAAAAAUUCAUAAUUAUACUUCUGCCAGUUCCCUUCAGAUUAAUUUAGUGAACAGGUGGACAAAUUCUCUGUGUCCCUGGAGAACAAGUGAAAUAUAAUGAAAAAAACAGAUCUGGGCAAGUACAGAAAACUAACGCCCAACUGAAGUUUUAAAACUUAUAUUGCAAAAGUGUAUGGGUAUUGAGAAGAGAUGAAAGGUUGAAAAGUAAUUUGAAAUAUGCUCAGGCCAUUGCAAUAUACCCCAUUAUGAUAGGGAUUGAGUUAUGCGCCAUCAUACAUCUCUCCCAUGUCAAGGACUUUUGAAAGGAUAUUAAGAGGUGACAAGCACAUGAACUUAAAAAAUAUUUUUAUAAAGACUGCCACCCAUUUGUUUGGCUAAUAAAAAGUCAGUAAGACUUCUGCUGAACACUCCGUUCUAUGUCUAAAUAGCCCAUGCCAGGUUCCACUUCACAGGUGUCUCAUUCAGCAUGCCAGCUGCCAGAAUGCCCAAGCUAAGUGUACAACUGCCCGGCACAGAAAGUGUGCAUGUUUUUUACUGGGUCAUGAAAGUUAGCCUUUGCUCUCAUCACCACAGAGAAAAGUCAGAAGAUAGCCUGUCUUAGUCAGGAAAAGAAAGUACAGCCUGUAGGAAGCAAUUUGAGGGUGUUCCAGAUCACACCAACAGCGGAUGCUGCAUCUGGGUAGUUCACGUACCCGAACAAAAAUUUUAAAAAUUUGGUGUGGCCUUUGCCAUCCAUUCACUCCUCAAAAACUACCAUUUGCUUUCCCAGAAAGCAAGCUUUCCAGCCCCACAGCCACGCCCCCACGAGAGAAAAAGUCGCACUCACCAAAUAGUGACAGGACCCCACACACCGUCCA
rnacentral:lncRNA from 1 species